rnacentral:rRNA from 1 species
UUGGAGGGCAAGUCUGGUGCCAGCAGCCGCGGUAAUUCCAGCUCCAAUAGCGUAUAUUAAAGUUGUUGCAGUUAAAAAGCUCGUAGUUGAACUUCGGGGUUUACCCAUUGGUCAGGCUUAAUUGUCUGCACUGGUGAGAUGAAUCUCUACCUUCUGAGGAACUUUCAUGCCAUUUAUUUGGUGUGAUGGGAAAUCAGGACUGUUACUUUGAAAAAAUUAGAGUGUUUAAAGCAGGCUAACGUCUGAAUACAUUAGCAUGGAAUAAUGAAAUAGGACGGACUGAUUCUAUUUCGUUGGUUUCUAGGAUCACCGUAAUGAUUAAUAGGGAUAGUUGGGGGCAUUAGUAUUCAAUUGUCAGAGGUGAAAUUCUUGGAUUUAUUGAAGACUAACUACUGCGAAAGCAUUUGCCAAGGAUGUUUUCAUUAAUCAAGAACGAAAGUUAGGGGAUCGAAGACGAUCAGAUACCGUCGUAGUCUUAACCAUAAACUAUGCCGACUAGGGAUCGGACGAAGUUAAUUUUAUAAUGACGCGUUCGGCGCCUUACGGGAA